rnacentral:rRNA from 1 species
CCCAAAAUUAAGCCUAAACCUAAUCCCAUGCACCUUUCCCCCACAACAAACCUAAACAAAACAUUUUACCAGUUUAGUAAAGGCGAUUAAAAAACUUAUUAGCGCUUUAUUACAAGUACCGCAAGGGAAAAAUGAAAUAGCUUUGAAAUAGGCUUUAAGCAAUAUAUAGCAGAGAUUACCUCUCGUACCUUUUGCAUCAUGGUUUAGCUAGUCAUUUUCAAGCAAAACGAAACAUCAGUUUGACCCCCCGAAACUAAGUGAGCUACUUUAAAACAGCUUAACGGAGCCAACCCAUCUCUGUUGCAAAAGAGUGGGACGAUUUUUAAGUAGAGGUGAAAAGCCUAUCGAACUUAGAGAUAGCUGGUUAUUCAGGAAAAGAAUUUUAGUUCAACCUUAAGAUUCCUCAUUACCUAUAAAAUACACCUAAUCUUAAGAGCUAUUCAAAUAAGGCACAGCUUAUUUGAAAAAGGAUACAACCUACAACAAAGGGUAAAAAAAUUUUAAACAAACUAAGUGGGCCUGAAAGCAGCCAUCUUUAAGAAAGCGUUAAAGCUCCCUUUUCCAUUUUUAACAAUUCCUCUAAACCUAUUAAACCCUUUAUUAUUACUGAAUGAUUCUAUAUCUUAUAGAAGCCCUGAUACUAAAACUAGUAACAAGAAAUUGUAUUUCUCUAAAAUAUAAGCAUAAGCCGGAAUGGACCAACCACCGGCAAUUAACGUCAUUAAGACCAUUGUAGUAACUCCACAAGAAAACCCUACAAACAUGAGCGUUAAUCUUACACAAGAAUAUUUCUGGAAAGAUUAAAAGAAAGGGAAGGAACUCGGCAAAUCUAAACCCCGCCUGUUUACCAAAAACAUCGCCUCUUGACAAACUAUAAGAGGUCCAGCCUGCCCAGUGAAAAGUUAAACGGCCGCGGUACCCUGACCGUGCGAAGGUAGCAUAAUCACUUGUUCCUUAAAUAGGGACUCGUAUCAACGGCAUCACGAGGGUUAUACUGUCUCCCCCAUCUAAUCAGUGAAACUGACCUCCCCGUGAAGAGGCGGGGAAUACAACUACAAGACGAGAAGACCCCAUGGAGCUUUAAACCCACUGACAACCUCUAUCCAAAUACUCCCACACAGAUAUAAAGUAAUGUUCAUUGGUUUUAGGUUGGGGUGACCAUGGAGCAAAACUAAACCUCCAUGACGAACGGAAAUUCAUCCUAAUCCAAGAGCUACCACUCUAAGAAUCAAAAAUUUGACAUAAUCUGAUCCGGUAACCGAUCAACGAACCAAGUUACCCUGGGGAUAACAGCGCAAUCCAUUUCAAGAGCCCCUAUCGACAAAUGGGUUUACGACCUCGAUGUUGGAUCAGGGUAUCCCAGUGGUGCAGCCGCUACUAAAGGUUUGUUUGUUCAACAAUUAAAAC